CGAGUUGUUUGGGAAUGCUGCUCAAAAUGGGAGGUAAACCCCUUCUAAAGCUAAAUACCGGCCAGAGACCGAUAGCGCACAAGUAGAGUGAUCGAAAGAUGAAAAGCACUUUGAAAAGAGAGUUAAAAAGCACGUGAAAUUGUUGAAAGGGAAGCGCUUGCGACCAGACUUGCGCCCGUCGGAUCAGCCGUCCCUCGCGGGCGGCGCACUCCGGCGGGCUCAGGCCAGCAUCGGUUCGCCUCGGGGGGAGAAAGGCGGCGGGAAUGUGGCUCUACGGAGUGUUAUAGCCCGCCGCGCAAUACCCCCGGGCGGACCGAGGACCGCGCGUAUGCAAGGAUGCUGGCGUAAUGGUCGUCAGCNACCCGUCUUGAAACAC
rnacentral:rRNA from 1 species